rnacentral:rRNA from 1 species
GCUCGGCGUAAAGAGUGGUUAAAAUGAAUAUAUACUAGAGCCGAACCCCCUCAAAACUGUUAUACGUACUCGAGGGCUAGAAGUACAUUUACGAAAGUAGCUUUAACGUUUUUGACCCCACGAAAGCUAGGAAACAAACUGGGAUUAGAUACCCCACUAUGCCUAGCCAUAAACUUUGAUGGAUUUAUUACCACAACCAUCCGCCAGGGUACUACGAGCAUUAGCUUAAAACCCAAAGGACUUGGCGGUGCUUAAGACCCCCCUAGAGGAGCCUGUUCUAGAACCGAUACCCCCCGUUAAACCUCACCCCUCCUUGUUGAACCCGCCUAUAUACCGCCGUCGUCAGCUUACCCUGUGAAGGAUUAAUAGUAAGCAAAAUCAGCA